GGUGCUGCAUGGCUGUCGUCAGCUCGUGUCGUGAGAUGUUGGGUUAAGUCCCGCAACGAGCGCAACCCUUGCCAUUAGUUGCUACAUUAAGUUGAUCAAUCGAAUGUGACUGCGAGUGACAAAACGAAGGAAGGGGUGAAUGACGUCAAUCCCUCAUGUUCCUUAUGGGGAUGCAUACACCCUACAUACAAUGGUACGUACGGAUGCCUGCCAACCAGGGGGAGGGAGCCAAUCCCAGAAAGUCCGUCUCCGGACGGAUUGCUGUCUGUCACUCGCCUGAAUGAAGACUCAAUCGCAAUC
rnacentral:rRNA from 1 species